UACGUAGGGCGCAAGCGUUGUCCGGAAUUAUUGGGCGUAAAGCGUGCGCAGGCGGUCUUGCAAGACAGGUGUGAAAUCCCCGGGCUUAACCUGGGAACUGCACUUGUGACUGCAAGGCUGGAGUACGGCAGAGGGGGAUGGAAUUCCGCGUGUAGCAGUGAAAUGCGUAGAUAUGACGGAGGAACACCGAUGGCGAAGGCAAUCCCCUGGGCCUGUACUGACGCUCAUGCACGAAAGCGUGGGGAGCAAACAGG
rnacentral:rRNA from 1 species